UUCUUUUAUCGACAUUUUGGCUAAUAUAAAGUGUAAUAUUUGUUCUUAUCAGUUUAACAUAUGAUAUAUGGACUAUAUGUUCACUUUGAUAUUAAAAUUGUUUUUUAAGAAUAAAUUUGAUUGUACUGUCACAAUGCACAGCCGUUGUACUAGUCUAUAUAUAUGUCAGGCGCUAACCAUAC
rnacentral:snRNA from 1 species